CAGCAGCCGCGGUAAUACGUAGGUCCCGAGCGUUGUCCGGAUUUAUUGGGCGUAAAGCGAGCGCAGGCGGUUAGAUAAGUCUGAAGUUAAAGGCUGUGGCUUAACCAUAGUACGCUUUGGAAACUGUUUAACUUGAGUGCAAGAGGGGAGAGUGGAAUUCCAUGUGUAGCGGUGAAAUGCGUAGAUAUAUGGAGGAACACCGGUGGCGAAAGCGGCUCUCUGACUUGUAGCUGACGCUGAGGCUCGAAAGCGUGGGGAGCAAACAGGAUUAGAUACCCGUGUAGUCCCUGUCUCUUAUACA
rnacentral:rRNA from 1 species